rnacentral:lncRNA from 10 species
AGAAUCUCCUGUUUCCUGUCUCCUGCCAGGCUUAAUCAGUUGUGGGAAGACAACAAGAAGUGGUUUCCAGGUGCUAGCCUCUGAGGCCAGGAGGCUAUGCGGUGUUCCUGGUGGGGUAAGUUGAAGUACAUGUCUGUGUUUGUCCAUUUUUACCAUUGAUCGCCAAAUCCUGGAAGGUGCCGAGUUAUCUGCACCUGCUGAUUAACCCCCAGGGCCGUGUUUAGAUGAAGGACCAGCUUCCAAAUUACAGUACCCCCUGACUUCAGACAACUCUCUAAUUUGCUACAUAAAAAUUACUGAAAAGCCGUGUUUUGGUGUGCCAUAAAGGGAGUUUAGUUCUUGGACUGGGGGAAUAUACACACACAUACAUAUAAACACAUGUAAUAAAUAUAUACAUAUAUGUGUGCCUGCACACAAACACACACAUACAUCUGCUAAUUGUGAUUUCUAUGGGUAUGACCCUGCGUGGUCCAAGAAACCCAGUAGACAGGUAAGUGACUUUACCGGCACUUGAGAAGUACCGCUGUUUGCAGGGCCGGAGGAGGUCGGCACAGGCCUGCCAAUCAUGCCUUGUUCAGCCAAACCUCUCUCCUCCAAACCUCUGAGAGAUAGGGGCAGAUGACCACCAGCCCCAUAUCUUCAGCCUCCUCAGAAAGGUGCUGAUACCUGCAAACAGGAGGGGGAGCAAUGGCCUAUCACUUCCCUCUUGCUGCAGCACCAGGAGCUGAAUAGUCUCAAGUCAGCUUGGCUUACCUCCCUUCUCCCACAGUAACCAUGCACAGAAAAGGUGCGAUAGCACUGAGGGAGGCUGUGGAUUGGGAGGAGAGGUGGGGUCUGGAAUAUUCUCCCUUCUAGAAAGUAGCAAAAGAGUUCCAGUGCCUGGCAGUCCAAAGGCCCCUCGUGGCAUAGAGGAGAAAGGGAGACAUGGCCACAGCCCCAGCACCAGGAACUGGGCAGGUCCAUUUGGCCCACCCAUUGCACAUGGCUCUAUGUCAUCAUUAUCCAGCUGAUCAUACAAAAGUCCCACCUGGCACGUGGGAGCAGUUCACAGGGUCAAUGUAUAAUGUGCAGAGCUUCCAGGUGUGUGAGAGCCAGUCACUGAGAGCUUUGGGCUUCUUCCUCGGUCCCCAAGAACUGAAGCCAUUGCUCCUCUUCCUCAGUCAGCACCAGUGCUUCCUGGGGGCUAUAUCCUCAGGCCUGCUGGUAAGCAAAAGCCUCCUCAAUUUCUCUGGUACCAUGAUGCCACUGAAACAAGCAUACCACCCCAUUUGAGGACUUUAGGAGUCUUUUAUUUUUAAUAAUAUAGGGAAUGGAUUCAUUUUGUUUAUGCAUCAAAUAUUUUUCUUCUGCUCCAUACAAAACACUACACUAAGUGUAGAAGACAGUAUAGAUUUAGCAGCCAACUGGAAAAGAGAAACUGUACACAAUUUGCAAUGUCCGUAAGAGCAACAAAGCAAAUAAAAUGCUCUGAAGAGCAAUUUGUCUUGGGACUAACAAAACAAAAAUUUACCUGUGAAGUUCUAAUAAAGAGGACACCAAGCAAUGUCAUAAAUGAGGAAUUGAUCAGUUCUCAUAUUUUGCUGUGAUCACUGGAG